UACGUAGGGGGCAAGCGUUGUCCGGAUUUAUUGGGCGUAAAGAGCGUGUAGGCGGUUUGGUAGGUCCGCUGUGAAAACUCGAGGCUCAACCUCGAGACGCCGGUGGAAACCAUCAGGCUAGAGUCCGGAAGAGGAGAGUGGAAUUCCUGGUGUAGCGGUGAAAUGCGCAGAUAUCAGGAGGAACACCAAUGGCGAAGGCAAUCCCCUGGGCCUGCACUGACGCUCAUGCACGAAAGCGUGGGGAGCAAACAGG
rnacentral:rRNA from 1 species